UACGUAGGCAGCAAGCGUUGUUCGGAGUUACUGGGCGUAAAGGGUGCGUAGGCGGUUCUGUAAGUAUGGUGUGAAAUCUCCCGGCUUAACUGGGAGGGUGCGCUAUAAACUGCGGGGCUAGAGUGUGGGAGAGGAAAGUGGAAUUCCUGGUGUAGCGGUGAAAUGCGUAGAUAUCAGGAGGAGCACCGGUGGUGUAAACGGCUUUCUGGACCAUAACUGACGCUGAAGCACGAAAGCGUGGGUAGCAAACAGG
rnacentral:rRNA from 1 species